GCCUGUAGUUAUAACCAGAGUCUCUUGGAGGGAGAACGGGGAUUUGUGUAUAGAUCUAUACGGGGAUGACACCCCACACCUCAGUUGUUCGCUAUAGUUAGACUAUCUCAGUCUACGGUGACGAAAAGCUUAUAGUCAAAGUGAAAACCGGCGUCCAACGAUGCCAAGACAGGUGAAAUUGUCAUUAUUUAGUAUGGUUAUAGCGGCUCGCUUAGAGGAAUUAAUGUUAUGAAGUNCCGGCGUCCAGCCAAGACAGGUGAAAUUGUCAUUAUUUAGUAUGGUUAUAGCGGCUCGCUUAGAGGAAUUAAUGUUAUGAAGUUUACGGAAUACCGUUUUCUUUUAUAGACAACAUUGGGUUGUUUGGGAACAUUCUCUUUACAUGCUCUUACAUUCUCUCUACAUUUUCUUUACCGUUUAAGUCAAAUAAACAAUAGCUUACAUGCAUUAAUACAAGAUCUAACACAAACACACUAAACAGUUUUCAGAAAAUAUCGGAUUUUCUGGUGGUUUUCAAAGUUAUACAAAUCAUUCUCACAAACAUGCUUAUGAACUCACCAACAUUUUUAUGUUGACCGUUUUUCAAAAUAACUUGUAUUCUCAGGAAAUCGUUGAAGCUGGAUGAACAAAACAAACUAAUGGAUAUUGUGUUAUAUUUUGUUUCAUCAUACUCUUACUAUUUUGGCAUGUAAUAUUCAAAUACAAUACUCGAUGUAAACUAUGAAUGUUGUAAUAUUACAUGUGUGAUGAUGAUGAUGUUAUGUUUCAAUUAUAUUCACUGUAAUGAUAUUUCAAGAUGAAGUCAUGCACAAGCCCCCGUAUGUUUCCGCCGUCUGGUUCGGGGGUGUGACACGUAUGACAUGUCCUCACCAUGAUCUACCUCUGAAAUACAACAUACGAUAAAUUAGAAACUCACUUAAGCAUACUCGCACUCGAUAACUCAUCCCUCCUUGAUCCCUGGCAUCCAAAAGAUUCUUACUUGAACUGUACACCGCCCCGGUGUUUUCAGUAUUAAGGGCCCAAUACUAUCGUCCACACCGUAUCAGUAUACAUCCCAAGUCCUCCUCUUAGGAUCCCAAGUCCCAAGUACUCUAUUAUGCA
rnacentral:lncRNA from 1 species